rnacentral:misc_RNA from 1 species
CACCACGACACCCUUCCCCACACCAGCAGUCGAGCUGAGCACGACACAAAGCCGGCUGGGGCCGCCUCGCCAUGGCGAUCCGGAUGAGCAACAACGUGAUCGGCGCGCUGAACCUGGUGACACUCCUGCUCUCGGUCCCCAUCCUCGUCUCGGGAAUCUGGCUGCGGUCGCGCGCCGACGGCACCGAGUGCGACCACCUCCUGUCCACCCCGGCCAUCGCGCUGGGCGCGGUGCUCAUGGCCGUCGCUGUCGCGGGCCUCGCCGGCGCCUGCUUCCGCGCCACCUGGCUGCUAUGGCUCUACCUCCUCGCCAUGCUCGUGUUCAUCGUCGCGCUGCUCUGCUUCACCGUCUUCGCCUUCGCCGUCACCAACAGGGGCGCCGGGGAGGCCGUGUCGGGGGUAGGCUACAGGGAGUACCGCCUCGGGGACUACUCCACCUGGCUGCGGCGCCACGUCGAAAGCCGCAAGGACUGGGCCCGGAUCCGGAGCUGCCUCGCCGACGCGCACGUCUGCAGGCGCCUGGAGGAGAGGGAGAGGGAGAGCAAGGACGCGGCGGGUCUGGUUCGGCUCGGCCUGUCCCCGGUCGAGUCCGGGUGCUGCAAGCCGCCCACGAGCUGCAACUUCACGUACACCGGCGGCACGGAGUGGACCAGGACAGCGGCGGGCUCCGCGCCCGCCGGCCGGGACUGCAGCGCGUGGGGCAACGACGAGGACGACCUCUGCUACGGGUGCCAGUCGUGCAAGGCCGGCGUGGUGGACGCGCUCAAGCGGGACUGGAAGCGGGCCGCCAUCGUCAACGUCGUCAUCCUCUCCUUCAUCGUCGUCGUUUACUCCGUCGGCUGCUGCGCCUUCAAGAACAGCCGCCGGGACAACUACGCCUACCACAGCGGCCGCGGAUGGAAACGAGGCGGUGACGCUUAAAUGCUUAAUCAAACUUUUCCUUAUCAUCUGCGUUAGUGCAAUUUACCAUUAUCUUGUAUAUUAGCCUGAGUUCGUGAUCUGCUUUAGUUCAGUUUACCAUUAGCUUGUAUAUUAUUAGCCUCAGUUUGUAUCACUUAGUUGUUUGGCAGCAUAUUAGCAGAAUUUCGGGCAGUAUAUGAGCAGAAUUUCGCUGCCUGGUCCAAUUUCCCAUAGACAAGUAUGCAGGCAAAAUUCAUUGUCAUUUGU